rnacentral:tRNA from 1 species
CAGUAGCUCAGUCGGAUAGAGCAUCGGUCUUCUAAACCGAGGGUCGCAGGUUCGAAUCCUGUCUGAC